AUUGAACGCUGGCGGCAGGCUUAACACAUGCAAGUCGAGCGGAGAUGAGGUGCUUGCACCUUAUCUUAGCGGCGGACGGGUGAGUAAUGCUUAGGAAUCUGCCUAUCAGUGGGGGACAACAUUCCGAAAGGAAUGCUAAUACCGCAUACGUCCUACGGGAGAAAGCAGGGGAUCUUCGGACCUUGCGCUAAUAGAUGAGCCUAAGUCGGAUUAGCUAGUUGGUGGGGUAAAGGCCUACCAAGGCGACGAUCUGUAGCGGGUCUGAGAGGAUGGUCCGCCACACUGGGACUGAGAAACGGCCCAGACUCCUACGGGAGGCAGCAGUGGGGAAUAUUGGACAAUGGGGGGAACCCUGAACCAGCCAUGCCGCGUGUGUGAAGAAGGCCUUAUGGUUGUAAAGCACUUUAAGCGAGGAGGAGGCUACUGAGACUAAUACUCUUGGAUAGUGGACGUUACUCGCAGAAUAAGCACCGGCUAACUCUGUGCCAGCCGCCGCCGUAAAAC
rnacentral:rRNA from 1 species